AGUUAAGCUACAAAGGGCAUACGGCGGAUGCCUGGGCGCUUCGAGCCGAUGAAGGACGCGAUAAGCUGCGAAAAGUCAUGGGGAGCCGCAAGUAGGCAUUGAUCCAUGAAUCUCCGAAUGGGGCAACCCGGUACGAGUCAAGUCGUAUCAUCUACGGAAGGCACACCUGAUGAACUGAAACAUCUAAGUAGUCAGAGGAAAAGUAAUCAAACGAGAUUCCCCCAGUAGCGGCGAGCGAAGAGGGAAGAGCCCAAACCGGACGUCUUCGGACGACCGGGGUUGAGGACCGGCACAAAGGGAAGAAUUUCUAGCCGAACAGUCUGGGAAGGCUGAGCACAGACGGUGAAACUCCGGUAGGCGAAAGGGAUUCCAACGGGCCGGUAUCCAGAGUACCACGAGACACGAGGAACCUUGUGGGAAGCAGGGUGGACCACCAUCCAAGGCAAAAUACUACGAAGCGACCGAUAGCGCAUAGUACCGUGAGGGAAAGGUGAAAAGGACCCCGGGAGGGGAGUGAAAGAGAACCUGAAACCGUAUGUCUACAAGCAGUUGGAGCACUUUAUAUGUGCGACAGCGUGCCUAUUGAAGAAUGAACCGGCGAGUUAAUUUUUGUUGCGAGGUUAAGCGGGAGACGCGGAGCCGAAGCGAAAGCGAGUCUUAAUAGGGCGAAAGUAACAAGGAUUAGACCCGAAACCACAGUGAUCUAUGCAUGGCCAGGUUGAAGCUCAGGUAAAAAUGAGUGGAGGACCGAACCCGUGAGUGUUGAAAAACUUUGGGAUGAGCUGUGCAUAGGGGUGAAAUGCCAAUCGAACGUGGAGAUAGCUGGUUCUCCCCGAAAUAGCUUUAGGGCUAGCCUCAGGCGACACAUAAAGACGGUAGAGCACUGAUCGGACGCGGGUCUGUAAUGGAUACCAACUCCAGUCAAACUGCGAAUGGCUUUAUGAGAAGAACCUGGGAGUCAGAAUGCGAGUGAUAAGACCCGUAUUCAAGAGGGAAACAGCCCAGAACGCCGACUAAGGUCCCGAAUGCUGUACUAAGUGGAAAAGGAUGUAGAACUUCCGAAACAACCAGGAUGUUGGCUCAGAAGCAGCCACCAUUUAAAGAGUGCGUAAUAGCUCACUGGUCGAGAGGCUCUGCGCCGAAAAUAUCCGGGGCUCAAGUACAGAACCGAAGUCGCGUCAUGCGCAAGCAUGGGUAGGGGAGCGUUCUUAUUGCGUUGAAGGUUGACCGGAAGGACAGCUGGAGCGGUAAGAAGUGAGAAUGCCGGUAUGAGUAGCGAAACGGUCAGUGAGAAUCUGACCCACCGAAAGCCUAAGGGAUCCUGAGCAACGCUCGUCGACUCAGGGUAAGUCGGGACCUAAGCCGAGGCAGAAAGCAUAGGCGAUGGACAACAGGCAAACAUUCCUGUACUGCAUGAUGUUGUCUGAGGAUGGAGUGACACAGCAAGGAGCUUGAGCGCGCGACUGGAAAUGCGCGUCGAAGGCGGUAGGCUGUCAUGGAGGCAAAUCCCCAUGAUAAGGCCGAGAACUGACAGAUAGACAA
rnacentral:rRNA from 1 species